rnacentral:rRNA from 1 species
AUUGAACGCUGGCGGCAGGCCUACUACAUGCAAGUAGAACGCAGUUUCGAACGGGUGAGUAACGUGUAGGUAACUGCCUCAUAGCGGGGGAUAACUAUUGGAAACGAUAGCUAAUUCCGCAUACAUUGAGAUGGACCUGCGUUUCAUUAGCUAGUUGGUGAGGUUAAGGCUCACCAAGGCGACUAUACAUAGCCGACCUGAUAGGGGGAUCGGGCAAAAUGGGACUGGGACACGGCCCAGAAUCCUAAGGGAGGUAGCAGUAGGGAAUCUUCGGCAAUGGACGGCAGUCUGACCGAGCAAAGCCGCGUGAGUGAAGAAGGUUUUCGGAUCGUAAAGCUCUGUUGUUAGAGAAGCGGUAACUAAACAGAAAGGGACGGCGAACUACGUGCCAGCAGCCGCGGUAAUUC